AACCCUAAAACGAGUGUUCUCCGCCUCUUUGUUUCAAACUCUCUCCGGUCUCUCCUCACUCUUCUUCUCUCGAUGAACACGAAACAGAGCAUUAUUUCUCCACUCUCGAUUGUUUUCCGCCAUGAAAGGAGCUCUUAGAACUCGGAGGAUCCCACACACCCACACGCAACACCAACAGUGAAAUCCUCUCAAUCUCUCUAGUGAAAUCAAACAAGACGCAAACAACAAUGAAAAACCCUAAAUCCCAAAUCAAAACCAACCCCAAUUCAAUAUUCAAUAGUGAUUACAUUUUACACGAUGGAAAUCAAAAAUUGCAAGAAGAAAUAGAAAAGCUACGAAUAAUAGAAGAUCCUCAGGUGGAAAAAGCUCAAAUGAUACAAACACUACUGUUUGUUGGAGGCAUUAAGACAUUGUUGCAGACUUGGUUUGGAACAAGGCUUCCUGUGGUUGUAGGAGCAUCGUUUUCUUUUCUCAUUCCUGCUAUUUCUGUUGCUCUUUCAACCAGAAUGAUUGUGUUCCCUGAUCCUCAUGAGAGGUUCAGAAUGGUGUUAGUCGUGUCACAUGGAGCCCUGAUGGAAGUUUUGUUGUUAUGUAACUUAAUAUGUCUGAAACCAUUUUGAAGCUUUUGGCAGGAUAUCUAACUGUUUGCUUUGUUUUAGGUGUUGCGUUUACUAAGCAUUUGAUUCAUUUAUAUGCAUACACCAACUCAAAUGAGCUAACCCAGCGUAUAGAGGUGACAUUCUUCUCAUGAUGAACAAAGCAAAAUUUUGAUUGCAGUUUUGGGUUAUAUUUCUUUGUCGAUGCAGGUUGAUGCCCAUGUUGGUGGUGUGAAUGAUUUGUCAUUUGCUCUUCCUAAUAAACAGUUGUGCAUUGUAACUUGUGGAGAUGAUAAUUCGAUUAGGUGUGGGAUGCAAAUGGACGAAGACUAUUCACUUUUGAGGGGCAUGAGGCACCUGUAUAUUCAAUCUGUCCUCAUCACAAAGAGAACAUUCAGCUCUUCUUCUGCCGCACUCGAUUUGCUACACUCACAACUCUAGCUUCAAUUCAGGUUGAAAGUUAAAUGAGAUGUUGUGGUGGUGGUUGUGGAGUGUGAGGAAGGGAAGAAAAUCUUUGUCUGAUUCUAGAUUUUUGUUGGGUUGGGUGCAAAGCUUUUUAGUGUAUGUGAGUGUGAGAUAGUGAGAAUGGGUUGAAUAGAUGUUUCUUUUUCUGUGACUAUUAAAUAUAAUCAUCUUUUACUAUUGUUUAUUUAUGAGACAUACUUUGUUUAGUGGUACUUUCUAUGUUAUUAAGCAUGUGCAGUGUUUUCUAUAAAAUAGAAGCAGUGUUUGGUCUAUAAAAUAGAAGCAGUGUUUUCUAUAAGAUCUCUCUGGUGAGACAUUAGUUUACAUGGAUUUUCCAAUGAUCAAUGAAAACUAUGUUGGUAUUAAGCAUAAAUAUGCUUACACACAAGUAGUUGAUCCCACUGCAAACUCCACCACUCAAGAUGUGCCAAAAUAUGAAGGUUUAGCUAAGCUAUAUUUAGAAGAAUCAAGUGAAGAGUUUUUUAUGUCAAUGGUAAAAGAUGAAGGUAUAAAGAUGGAAUACCAUAUGUUUUGAUUUAGCUCUUGUUUUGGAUCUCAUGGUUGUUUUGAAUUUGGGAUUUGAAUUUUGAAUUUUGAAUUUGGGAUGACAUCAAAACUUAGUAUCCAACUAUUAUUAGUGGCACUACAAAAAAAACUUACUUUUGACCUUAAUGUUAAUUUGCUUGUAAUUAAUUAGAUUCUAAUCAUCAAUAUUAUUGUUAUAUAUAUAUAUAUAAAAUGACAUAUUUAUGUAAUGAUACAUAAAUAAACCGUGGCAAAAUAAAUGGUUUAGAAUGCAUAACAUAUAACAACGGUUUUAAAUACGUGGUCAUAACCAAACCGUGGCUAUAUCUUGAACCAAAACUGUAUCGUAAACGUUAAAUUGAAACCGUGGCUUUAUCAUAUAGCCACAGUUUUGCAGUCAUGGCAAAUACAAACCGCGGCCUUAAUCAAGCUACCUAAACCGUGGCCUAAAAAAGCCUCGGUUGUCAAAAAGGUGUGGUCUAUACCAAAAAACCGUGGACUUUACUUUAGGCCACGGCCGCAUACUCCACAGUUGGAUUUCCGUGUCCAAACCGUGGCCUCAACGUUACGCCACGGUUAUUUUGCAUAUAGCCUCGGUUUCUUGAGCGUGGCAGGAGACCUUUUUUUCUGUAGUGUGUGAAAGAUUUUGAACGAGUUAAAAUAUUUGGUGCAAACAAAGUUACAUGUGAAUGUUUCAUUAAGGAAACACACAUGUUACUUUGU